rnacentral:rRNA from 1 species
UACGAAGGGUGCAAGCGUUACUCGGAAUUACUGGGCGUAAAGAGCUCGUAGGUGGUUUGUCGCGUUGUUCGUGAAAACUCACAGCUCAACCUGUGGGCGUGCGGGCGAUACGGGCAGACUGGAGUACUGCGGGGAGACUGGAAUUCCUGUGUAGCGGUGGAAUGCGCAGAUAUCGAGGAAGAACACCCGUGGCGAAGGCGGCUC